UACGUAGGGGGCAAGCGUUGUCCGGAAUCAUUGGGCGUAAAGCGCGUGUAGGCGGCCCGGUAAGUCCGCUGUGAAAGUCGGGGGCUCAACCCUCGGAUGCCGGUGGAUACUGUCGGGCUAGAGUGCGGAAGAGGCGAGUGGAAUUCCUGGUGAUAGCGGGUGAAAUGCGCAGAUAUCAGGAGGAACACCAAUUGCGAAGGCAGCUCGCUGGGACGUGACUGACGCUGAGACGCGAAAGCGUGGGGAGCAAACAGG
rnacentral:rRNA from 1 species